CAAGGCGCGUCAGUGGUCGAUGCUGGAGGGGGAACAACAGUAGUAGCUUUGAAUCCGUUAUAUCGCUCUGCGCAAUUACCAAUUUGAUGUUUUUGAAUUUUGAUCACCGUAACUGAUGUUUUGAAAACAUUUCAAUCCGUGCAGAGUUGAUAAGAUCAGGCCGCUUGCACAAUGCAAGCAACACGAUUCAUGCGAUGUUGAGCUCAGUGCAUGCCGAAUGAUGUUUCAUGUUCUUUUGAGUGAGAUCACAAUCACAACCAAUUUUUUUUUGAGGGGACAUAGUGUCCUGUAUGGGCCCUGCGCGUCCACUACAGCAUACAAACGCCCAACCGGGCCCCAGAAUCCCCAAUACACACCAAACCAUUGGGCCACCCUUUGCAGCCAAGGCCCAGUGCAGUCCAAACCCGCGAACAGUGCACAUGCCGGAGUUCGGAACACGACACGGCGCGCGCGGCUGGCUGGGUGUGCUUCCCACUAACCCAUCCCCUCCAGCGGCUUUCGCUGUCAGGCAAUCAGUCGAGCAUAGAACCUUCCAGCCAGGCAAGGGCUUGAUGGUUGCCUGGUUGGGGUGCCCUGCCCAUCUCACGAUUCGCAUCCACUUCUUGGUGGAGACUGAUCGGGGUCCUGAGAUCGGGGUAGGUAGAUAGGUAGGUGGCUGGCAUCGAUACGGCAACAUGGGCUGCUUCGUUCCGUUUCGAGACCCGAAACACACGGUUGGGUCUUUCCGGCGCCAACGGGAGGAAACAAGGGAGCGAGAGGGAUCUGCGUGUCCUGGACUGCACAGUGCGCGCCAUUUUCCACGCUAGAAGUGAGAGCUGGUCAAUGUUGAUGGCGGCCGGCGGCCACUUCCUAGUUGGCAGCCACUGACAAAAGACAGAUAGACAUACACUCCGUAGUACUCUACAUGCAUGUACAUCCGGAUAAGGAGGUGUUGGAGAAUACAAUGCAAGCUUCUAGAGUGUUCUCAAUAUUACAAGAAAGAAGACAUUACUAUGGAAUACUCUAAAAUAUAAAAUAAAUAAAAGAGGGAACCUUCUAGUGUUUAGAUAUGCAUGAAGAAGCUUUGGAAUACUCUAGAAUAGGAGUUUAAAAUAAAUAAAUCGGAAACCUUGUAGUAUCUAGAUGUUUAUGUAGAAGUGUGUGGAAGGUUUUAGAUAUUUUGUAUCAAUGGCUAAGAUUUUGAUACAUGUCAAAGAUCCAAUGGCCAUGUAGUCCUAUAAAUAGAGGCUCUUGCCUCACACCUUGUGUAGUAGAGAAUAAAGAAGUGAAGAAGGUGGAGAACAAGGUGUGAGCAAGUGUAAGGCUGAUUGUUAUUGCAAAUCUACGAAGCGGCUUUUGCGGUUCAGGUAGGUCAGGACCGUCAGGUGCAUGGCGGCGUUGCUAAGGUAGGAGGAGCAGGUAUGCCUUUUGAGUCCACCGGAUUUCCGGUGGGUCAUGGGUGCUGUCGUUGUCGUUCCUUGGACACAUGUUGUGAACUCUGAAAACAGAAGCUGUGCUACAGCAAUCGGCGAUGGGUUAAUUUAAGUAUCUGAUUGCCUUGCCAUACAGUUCAAUAAGUGUCGGUAUGCAUGAUUCAUUUUUUAUUUCACAAAAUCACAUUUCUCAUGCAUGUUCUUCUUUUGAAGCUCUCUUCAUUAUAUAUCCUGCCAACUUUGCAAGGAUUAUUUAUUGUUCAUUUGGAUAGAGUUAAUUGCCCCUUGAUAGUUUCCUGAAAUAAUUGGCUGUACUACACUGGUGUGCUCCCUUUUUCUGGUGAGACGUGUGAAGGAAAGAAAUGAAAAGGGAAGGGGCAUUGACCUUUCCAGCCAAACGUACUGAUGGAUCGGUGAGAAGAGGAAUCGUAGGACCAUCAGAAACUAACAAAGAGGUUAGGUGCCCGAAGACCGUGGUAUUCUGGGUUGUUAGGAGAUAUUGUUUCUGAUUUAGACAAGUUGUUAGCACGGCAUUGUCCGGGGCCGGGCUAGUAGUGUGCGUGAGAGCGAGUGGGAGCAAAUUAUUGAGGUUCCUGAGAACAUGGAUACACGCAAAGCGAUGGCAUUUUCUUUUGGUACACCUUCCAUCCAUGAUCCAUCCAUCCACAUCUCCCUAUCAAAAGGGGACAUACACAAUAUGACAUGGAUGAAAGAAUCCAUCUUGCCUAACUAGGGUCACCCACCUAUAAAAGGCUCAUCAGGACCCCCUUUCCCUUUUGCUACAAAAGGUUAAAACCUAGUAGGAGGAGUAGUUACGAACUGGUAAAACUCGCACCAAUCUCGCCACGGUCUAAUUAAUUACACGGUCAAGUCAAAAACCUGCAGCAUUAAUCACUCAAGGCCACAGUGCAAUUGACCUCUCGUUUGAAUAAUGCCGCCGUUAGCUAGGUAGUGUAGUGCCCACCAAACAUUAUGGAAGCUGUUGCAAAGUUGCAAGUUGUGCUUUCUUAAUUUUGUGCAUACAGAUUGUAAUACUUAUAUGGAACGAGAUGCGUGAACCAUGGAUGAGUUGUUUAAUGAACCCAAUCGCCUGAAAAGCCCUAAGGAUUCGUCGAAUUCAGACUCUUUAGGUUAAAAUCUACGCGGGUAAUCCAAACAUGUCGUCGCUUUGCACGGACAGAUCGAUGACGCACAUGGCUGGUUCACUAAUUAUAAAUGAUUCCGAGGGUAUCUUCACAUGAAGCUUCAGUGCUUAAUUUUUAGGUGACAUAUGCAUGGUGCGUUGUUUAUUAUUGGUGCUUGCUUUUAAUCUCACGGAUCGACCUAACAACAAAAUAGAUUUAAAAUUUCAGAAGUUAUAUGCAUAGACAUGGUCAGAACGUCUACUGGAUCUGAGAUGUGAAGAGGAAGAAGCAACGUUGACUGGUUAGUUAGUUACAGCUAGCAUCAUAUCAACAUCGUUGCAGGAAGUACAGUGCCAGGGAAACAGUGCAAUGGAAGGAUUGACAAAGCCAGUUUCUGACAUGGACCUAACUGGAUUGGAUAGGCGCCGCCUUAAAAAUCAAGAACUGCCCGGAUAGGUCAUUAGGACCACCCAAUCAAUGGUUUGGGUAAAAGAAUCUCGUGACUUACCAGUAGUGAGAUAACUCCGAGUUUACUGAGACAUAGUACGUAAAAACUAGAGAGAAGUACAUUUUUCAUUUCUCACCUUACCGGAAAGUUCAUUUCUCGUCCCUAAAAAAUAAUUCGUAUUUUUUUCAUCACUCAACUUUCAAAACUGGACAUUUUUAGUCCCUAAGGUUGUCCAAAGUGGUUUGUCUAGCCACGUGUCCGGUUUAAUCCCGUGACCGCCGAGGCUAUUGAAAUUGGCCGUCGUCGUGCUCUGGAUCUCUUCCAGGCUCUGGUUGUACUUCUCAUCCAUCUGCAUCAUUCAUAUCUUGAUUGGAAAAAAAAUUAAGUGAAAAAAAACUAUGCGAAAACCAGACACGUGGGAUAGGAAAACCACUUUGGAUGGACUGAGGGACUAAAAGUGUCCGGUUUUGAAAAUUGAGGGACGAAAAAAGUAUGAAAUUUUUUUGAGAAACGAAAAGCGAACUUUUCGACAAUUUGAGGGACGAAAAAAAUAGUUUUCUCUAAAAACUAAUCCUAACAUGUCAGUGAGCCUGUGGUCAAUGGAGACAUAUACAGGCGCUAUUGGAGCUAAUCUUAUCCAUCGAUCUUGACAGCAGAUCCAAUCGAACAUCAUGAAUAACAUAUAGGUUUGAUUUUAUUUGGAGGAAGGAUCUGUAGAUGAGAAGGGAUCCGAUGGCUCAUCUUUUAAACCAUCUAGAUCUACAUGCUCCAUUGCUAGAUGCCUCAUGCAUGCUGUCAAGAAAGGAACCACUUGGCUAAAACGGGCGAAUCAAACGUCUGGACCGGCCUUGCUAGGGGGUCAUACAUUACGCGGUGUUUUCACAUGAGAUAUUUUCGAUGGAUUCAGAAGGAAUCAGAUGAGGAAUCGGGCUUCCCGAUAAAAUACAGGUUACAAUCGGCCGGGCACGUCGGUGUCAGUUCGUUCAGAGCUCGAUCAUGGCCAAAUUUUUUCUCCUCCAUCACAAACAAAGUUGGACGCUCGGACCCGCGGGUCCCGGGGUUAGGCCGUUCGGUACGAGUAGGACCCGGUCGAUCGGUCCGAGUUGCUUCCAAGACCCUGAGACCGAUUGGUACUUGGUCUCUUUCUCCCUCCCCUGCUUAAUCCCUCUUCUAUUAAACGAUGUAAACGAUGCAACGCUGGUUACCACAAGUAAAUAAAGAGGGUUUUUGCUGUCAAAAAAAUCCUCUGGACUGGAUUGCGUCACAUGGCAUGCUAUUUCUCCUCCUUCUAAAGUCUUUCCGGUUUUUAAACCGUCGGUGGUGCCUCUGGGUUCUACUCCGUACGAGCACUACUCAAGUCGUGGUCAUGAAGAGAAAGAAAAAGGCAGAGGAGCCGUCUCUUGUUUGCCCAAGCGGUCGGGGUGGUGGACGGCAGCAACAGUGUGGCUGUGGCUAGCGCUAAGCUACGAGAUGAGGUCGAGCGGUCGGAACUUGGAAGGGUUUGGUAGCAGACAGCGGCAAGUCGCCAUCUCGGUUGUUGCACGCACUGAAUUAAUGCAUGGCACAUACGUCCGUCUUGGUUUUGGACUUGGGGACGACUUUGGGUUUGGGAGUGUGUAGGAGUCAUGCGUUCGUGCGUCAGAUCAUGGCUGUCGUGGUCUGCCCUGCAGGGAAUCUUGGGAAUUCUGGAUCAUGAUGAUGUGUGAUCGAGCGGUGCCUUUUGUUUCUCCACUAGGUAGCUCCUGCACGUGUUCUCUCCAGACCGUGCGCGCUCGGAGCAGGCAAACAUGUGCAUCCGUUAUUACACCAUGAUCAUCUGGUGGGUAUUGGCAUGCAAAGUGUCCCUUGAUCGGUGUCGGUCGGUCAGUCGAUUUACCACCUGAUUAAGAAGCAUGCGUGGAUCAUGCACGUAUUUAUAUCGAGGACCCCAAAUCAAGUCGCAGAAUUUAAUUAUUGACGCGUGCACGCGAUUCUCUAUAGACUAUAGUGACCCGCGUCAUGAUCAGUAUCAAUCAUAUACCGUUGUAAUCGUGUCAUGGCUACGGCCAACUGCGCUGGAUUGUCGCCUUCGACUUCGAGAGAUGACGCAGAUUUUUCUGCAGUGCCAUUUGUCUAUUUCUCAGCAGGGCUAGAUAAAAACGACGAGCAGAGAAUCGGCAACUACACUGUCUCUUCGGAUUUUUUUUUGUAGCUUACGAGUUACGACCCAUUCGCACAUGUUGGACUCUUUGGCAAAAAGGAGACACAUAUAUAGGCUUAAGCAUUGACCGGAAUCACAGGGAAUCUCAGGGGAACGUACAAUCAGCAGUACGUGAGUGUAUUUCUGACUUCUGAGCAGCUAGCUGUUAGUACGCCGCCCUUGUCGUCGCUUGGCGUGGGCAAAGUACGCGGCAGCAGCACAGGACCAGCUCACCAAACACCUCGAUCAGGCCUCUCUGGGUGGGCGAACGAAGCAAAAGGAUGCGAAUGCACACAACAAGUGCUGCCCAGCGAGCCAAAGCCGAAGCCAUUCCAACUCCAGGAUCAAAAAGCCAAAGGAAGGACAUCGCACAGCGAUCGAAUCUAACUACUCGUAAGUUGGACGGUGUCUGGCUGGCACCAAUCAUCUCUACCAAACUAAUUUCGAGUUGGUUGACAUCUCGUUUUCUCCUUUAGCUAUAGCUCGUAAAUUGCUUGCGUUUGCAUCGAUCUACAGUUUGCGUGCACUGCACACUUGGAUGCUCUUUAAUUAGACUAUGAAUCCGGCCGGAGCAGGUUCGCUAGUUAUGAGUCUGAUUUGGACAUUCUGCGCCAAGUACGUGCGGAUGCUCCGAUGAGCUUUGAGCUGCGGCCCGGAGUUGGGCCGCGGUGUCCUGCCAAGACAGACUUUACACCGAGCAGUAGGGUUAAUUAUCGGGUUUCAGAAAUUGAGAAGACGGUUUUCUUUUAUUACAGCAUUUCAGAAGACCGGUAGUGAGAGUUCUAGAUCGAUGUACAGAAAUGAAGAAAAAAGAGGCUCGAAUCGAGGAACAGUUCCCGGA